UGAUGCUAUACGAAAGGUUCCCUAUAACGUUUAUGCGUUUCACUUGAAAUGAGACAAAAUGCACCCAACAUGACUAGAAAAGCCGAAGUAGCACAUUCAUCAAAUUAAAGGAGGUUUCACAAGGAAAGAUGUUAAAGUGUUAAUAAUAUCCGCAGGGUUUCACAUAUCAGAUAAUAUGGAAUUCUAAAGCAUUAAAACUUAAAUUAGGACUCCCAGUUCUUAAAAUGGGGGAGAUAGAUGCUUGAUAUGCCAGAUUAACUGCUGCUGUCAUCAUUACAAUCACUGCUGAACCAUCACCAGCAGCAGAAGUACACCACAAACAACAUUACCUCUGCCAUAAUCACCAAUACCAAAACCAGAUCCCUGUUGCUACUAGUUAACUACUACCAAGUUCAAAGCCACUGCUUCCACCACCAAUAGUAAGUUUAAUAAAGAAAAAAAAAAGGGGAAAGAAAGAAGCAGAAGAAAAAAGAUCUCAUAAUUUAAGCCUUUAGAAGCCUCAACUUUAAGAGUCCUAAAACUUAUAAAUUCAUUCAUUUGAACAUCCCAGAAAAAGAUCAGAUAUUAAUUUGCCAAAACCCAUUAA
rnacentral:misc_RNA from 1 species